UAAAGGCUCUGGCCUCAGCUCGUGAUCCUAGCAGGUGAUUUGAGAAUGUUAUGACUGAGGAAGGCCACAUGGUGCCUUUGGUCUGUAUGUGCAGUUCCUUCCAUCUGCAGGUCUCCUAUUUGGCACAGUCGCCAACUGGGCACACACUAGGGAGUGUGGCAGCAAGAAGCCCAGGUCUGAGCCGGGCUACUUAUGUGCACCUGGCAAUGUGGGGGAGCAGCAAGGACUGCAUCAUUUAGGACCAGCCAAGAGGCCACUUACAGCAGCUCAAAGCUCUCAGCACCCCAUUUAAGAGGGAUGAGCCCAUACUGAGGACACGGAGCAGGCCAGCCACACUUGCUGCAUGUCACACGCUGAUUCAUCUUCCCUCACAGCACCAGGCAAGCUGCCUCUGGAGAGCCCUGGGGAGGCCGGCCGGCAGCUCUCAGACCAGGAGGCUCCUUACUCUUUGAUGUGUCAGAUCCAACUGAGCCCUCAGAAGAGAGGACAGUAGUUUGGACUGAUGGUUCCUUUGGGGAUUAAAAAAAACAAAACAAAACAAAAAACCCCCUCAGAUAUUAAUAGAAUAACAUUUUAUGUCAUAA